rnacentral:rRNA from 1 species
CAGCAGUAGCCGCGGUAAUACGAAGAGGGCUAACGUUGUUCGGAAUUACUGGGCGUAAAGGGCGCGUAGGCGGCCAUUCAAGUUAGAUGUGAAAGCCCUGGGCUCAACCUAGGAAUUGCAUUUGAUACUGUUUGGCUUGAGUUCGGGAGAGGUGAGUGGAAUUCCCAGUGUAGAGGUGAAAUUCGUAGAUAUCGGGAAGAACACCAGUGGCGAAGGCGGCUCACUGGACCGACACUGACGCUGAGGCGCGAAAGCGUGGGGAGCAAACAGGAUUAGAUACCCGCGUAGUCCCUGUCUCUUAUAC